UGUAAUUACGUCUGAAGACAGGAGGACUAACUCCUAAGCCUAAAUAUAACUGAUUAUCGAUAGUGAACAAGUACCGUGAGGGAAAGGUGAAAUAGAACCCUAUAAAUGGGAGUGAAAUAGAUCUUGAAACUGAAUGUUAACAACAAGAUACUGGCAUUUUAUAUGCCAUAUCGUACCUUUUGUAGAAGGGACCAACAAGUUAAUCUGCACUAGCAAGCUUAAGC
rnacentral:rRNA from 1 species